rnacentral:rRNA from 1 species
GAUGAACGCUGGCGGCGUGCCUAAUACAUGCAAGUCGAGCGAACGGACGAGAAGCUUGCUUCUCUGAUGUUAGCGGCGGACGGGUGAGUAACACGUGGAUAACCUACCUAUAAGACUGGGAUAACUUCGGGAAACCGUAGCUAAUACCGGAUAAUAUUUUGAACCGCAUGGUUCAAAAGUGAAAGACGGUCUUGCUUUCACUUAUAGAUGGAUCCGCGCUGCAUUAGCUAGUUGGUAAGGUAACGGCUUACCAAGGCAACGAUGCAUAGCCGACCUGAGAGGGUGAUCGGCCACACUGGAACUGAGACACGGUCACGACUCCUACGGGAGGAAGCAGUAGGGAAUCUUCCGCAAUGGGCGAAAGCCUGACGGAGCAACGCCGCGUGAGUGAUGAAGGUCUUCGGAUCGUAAAACUCUGUUAUUAGGGAAGAACAUAUGUGUAAGUAACUGUGCACAUCUUGACGGUACCUAAUCAGAAAGCCACGGCUAACUACGUG